AACAAAGGUGGCUGCGUCCAGCGGUAACGCGGCGCCGAUGCGGCAAGAAGAGUGAUGCUUUCGCAUUGGGAGUGACGCAGUUCCAAGCAGAUUUACGCCGACAUAGUGGUGAUGUGCAAUGUCAACGUCCCAGCCUAUGACCAUGAAACAGUGCUCGCGAUUUCGAUGCGGCCAGCAAGGCUGCGGCUGCUAAAAGAUGGUGUAGCGCGUAGCAGCAGGACGAAGGACCCAGAGACGACGAAGACGCGGCGAUGAAAGUAUUCAUAAGGUUUAUGUAAAGUUAUAAAACCUCCCAGUUCUUGGCCAGUCCACCACAGUGGGUGUGAACCACAGUGUUUCGGCGAGCAAGAUCAAUAGGUAGUCGAUAGUCUCGAUCGAUGGGUGAGCCCUGCAAGUAGAAGCUCAAGUGCUCGCUGGUCAGCUUGGUAGAAUAAUGUGAACGUGGACUCAGCAAUACAUUUCACAACAAUCCACUGACGACAGAGGUAGCCGCGAUUUUUGGCUGCACGGUUGUGGAUAACAAAGCAGAAAGUGUUGUAUGUGAACUCUACGACGAAAGGACUUGCGGAGCGAAGCAUUCGCGGAGAUGUUAAUGCACCAACGGGAGUGACGGUUGGCGAAUUUGAGCAGAUGCGACUAUGACAGGAAGUUAGCGUAGUACGUGUCAACGAAAGUAUAGACGUCCUGUACACAUGCGAACUUCCUCACCACUUGGAGGUGUCCUCUCAAGUAUGCAUGCCCAAACAUGGGAAGGUGUCUUGUGUAGCAGCCACCGAGUGCACACGGCACAGCUUUCCACAUGAGAAGGAAAAACCACUAAAGAACACUUGUACUGGUCAGACUACUGCAGCAAGCUUUUUCUGCCGAAGAGCAACUUAGACAGCCACCUAUGUAGCAUCACCGGCAACAGACCAUUCCGCCACCACCUCCGCUCCAUGGGCUUCGCACAGAAACACUGCCUUUUCCACCACGUACGAGGACCCUCAGACAAAGAAUCAUUUCAGUGUUAUGUUUGCCCAGCAACUUCCAGCCACAUGUUGUAUUGGACAAAGUGCGAAAAGAAAGUUCAUGUGCGGCAGGUCAUGCAUUUUCCGCAGAACUUGCAUAGAAUUAAGCAGCGCUCAAGCAAAGUGGUAUAGAAAGCUUACGUGUGCCAUGUGAAACUCCGGGUGAAAACUAGUUCUACUCUGCAGAGAAGUUGUGCAUGGGAACUCAACCACAGUACUGAACAUUACAUGGAUGCUAACACUCCUGAAGACGUACAAGAGUUUUUUUCCAUUCUAGAUUGUACUAUUAAAGGGAUGCUAAAGAGAAAAAUAAUUUUUCUCAUAUUAGUAAAUUACUCUUUUGCAAUUCCAAAAUCUCCAUGCUUGCCGCGAGACGAUGCUUGGUAAGUGAGAAAACGCGCAUAAGGAAAAUGCGGGUGGCAUGCUAUCUUGAUAUUCCCACACCAAAUGUCGUGACGUCAUGUAUUUUGACGGCAUCUACCAGGUCUUGCGUAGUUCCUAAUCAGUAAAAAAGAAAUACAUAGUCUUCAGAGGGGGGGCAUAGACUUAACAUACCAAGUUUCAGGAAAUUUCGUGGAGCCAAUGUUGUCAAAAUACAAAAAAUACACUUUGAAAUCCAUGAUGUUAUGCGCGGAGAUUUCGGUGAGACAUUUAAAAAUUCAACGUUUACCUUGAUUUUCUCCUCCACUAGUAAACCUAUAAUGGUGAAAUUAACAAUAUUAGAGUUCCCAGAGUACAAUUAAUCAAUCUAAACAGAUUCAUUGUUUCACUUUAGUGUCCCUUUAACAGUGUCUUGAAUAUUUACUGCGGUUCUGUACAGUUACUCUUUCUGUAGUUGUGAUAAAUGCGAAUGUUUAUGUAACACCCAACGCAAUUUAUGGUACAUUGCUUUCUCAUCUUGUUACUGCCACUGACAUUAUUUCUUGUUCAUCGGACUUGUGAAUUUACUGACUUUGUGCUUUUUGCAAAAUGCUGCCUUGUGUUUUGAAAACAACACGUAGGAUUUAGGCGGGUCUUUUCAUCGCAGUGUUUCGUUAUUGAAAGCUCAGCGUCUGCUUACCAAAUAGCAUCAGCUGCUGUGUCGCAGUCAACAUAAAACAUUUCUCUUCUCAGUUCAACAUUAGUCUGCAGUUCUUUAUUCCACCGAACCCCAUGUAGGCAAAAUGUAUUUGUUGUCUGUUGACUAUGUUGCAUGUGUGAGUUUUUUAAGUGUUUUCACUGCAACUAGUUGUGUCUCAGUAUCCUUGGAAUUCAUUAGAUUACGAUUUACCUGUACACGUAUUUGCACACAACAGCAUUUUUUUUUUCCAUUGCAUGAGGUGCUCAGCCAAAUGUCCAUAACCACUAGACCGCCAUGGUGGUCUAGUGGUUAUGGCACUCGGCUGCUGACCGUAAGGUCGCGGGAUCAAAUCCCGGCUGCCGUGGCUGCAUUUUCGAUGGAGGCUAAGGCCCUUGUACUUAGAUUUAGGUGCAUAUUAAAGAAGCCCAGGUGGUCAAAAUAUCCAGAGCCCUCCAUUACGGCGUCCCUCAUAAUCAUAUCGUAGUUUUGGGACAUUAAACCCAAGAUAUUAUUAUUAUAGUUUUCAUUGCAUGCAUUGGCAGUUUACCAUUUUCCAGUAUAUCAAGAAAAUAGAGGUGCUGAAGAGGCUGUUUUUAGCAGUGCAAUUAUGUCAUAUCGCAGUAUAGUGUAUAAGCAGUGUAAUCAUAUCGUGGUUUUGGGACAUUAAACCCCAACGAUUAUUGUUAUUAAGUGUUUUGCUGUUCUUAUAUUAAUAAGGACAUUUUAUCCAGUACAUUUGUGGAACCGGUGCUACAGUUUGGCACUUCAUCAUGUUUGUCUUGAGAAUCCUGUCAGUGUUUUGUGUACUGCUAUCUCCUUAACUGCCAUCUAGUUUAGCCAGUUGCACCUUAUACUACACUCGGUUACAACCCAAGAAAAAAUGUCAGCUCCGCCCACAGCCAUGUCCCUCCCACUCAAAAUUUGCAUAGAUGUUCCAUCCAAUAGCACUUACUCAAUUUUGCGACAUCAAGCACUCCUCGAGUGUUUCAGAUAGUUGACUUUCCGAUACACACGUUUGUGUCGCUGCUUAUAGGUGGGACACUUGAACGUCUUACUAAAUUUUGUCAGGGAUUCUGACAUCGCUGCUUGACCAAGGAGAAUGUUUUAGGCAGUAACAACGAAACUUUAACUAUUAAUAUGCAUAGUACUUACAUUAGCCGAGAAAGAGUGCUUACUGUUCUUGCGGAAACCAACUAGCACGACAGUCAUUCACAGUUGAAUGGCAGGCGCGCUAUGGUUCUGCAGGCAAAGCCUACAUUCUUUUUUUUUUGGGUGUAACCGAGUAUAGCUACCUCACUCUCAUUUUCGUGUAAUUUUUUUUUGCUAAAAUGAUGCCGCUUUCCAUUGCCCAGAAUUCCUCCUUGUGUGUCACCUCCCUGCCGCACCAUCGCCCCCAGGCUCUAAGAGCGGAAAAGAGCUGCAGCGAUGUCUCGUGUGUGGUUACACCACGCCUUACGCCCAUGUCAUGAGGAAUCACCACAAGAGACACACGGACGAGCGGCCGUUCAAGUGUGCACAGUGCAACAAGGGCUUUAAACGGAAGGGCCAUCUGGCUGAGCACCUCUAUAUCCACUCCGGUGAAAAAACCUUCAAGUGCCACCUCUGUCCUAGUGACUUUGCCCAGAAGGCGGGCCUUGUGCACCACUUGAAAAAACACAAG